rnacentral:rRNA from 1 species
UACGUAGGGGGGCAAGCGUUGUCCGGAUUUAUUGGGCGUAAAGAGCGUGUAGGCGGCCAGCUAGGUCCGUUGUGAAAACUGGAGGCUCAACCUCCAGCUGUCGACGGAAACCGUGUGGCUAGAGUCCGGAAGAGGAGAGUGGAAUUCCUGGUGUAGCGGUGAAAUGCGCAGAUAUCAGGAAGAACACCAAUGGCGAAGGCAGCUCUCUGGGACGGUACUGACGCUGAGACGCGAAAGCGUGGGGAGCGAACAGG